CCAAGAACCUGCAAUCGUGUGCCUACAAGGUGUCAGAGCCCCGCAAGGGGUGAUGGCGUGCCUUUUGCUUAAUGAGUCUGCGAGUUAUUGUUAGUGGCGAGCCUAAGUCCUUCUGGGACGGAGGCGCAGCGAAAGCGAGUCUGAAAACGGCGCUUAGUCACUGGCAGUAGACCCGAAGCCGAGGUGAUCUACCCAUGGCCAGGUUGAAGCGUCAGUAACAUGACGUGAAGGACCGAACUGGUGCCUCUUGAGAAAGGCUCGGAUGAGCUGUGGGUAGGAGCGAAAGACUAAUCAAACCCGGUGAUAGCUGGUUCUCCCCGAAAUAGCUUGAGGGCUAGCCUCGUGUGCUGAUCGUUGGAGGUAGAGCACUGGAUGAACUAGAGCCCAUACCCGGGUAUCGAAUUCAAUCAAACUCCGAAUGCCAACGAGAGAAACACGGGAGUCAGUGCGUGAGGGAUAAGCUUCACGCGCGAGAGGCAAACAUGCCAGACCAGCAGCUAAGGUGCCUAAACGAUGCUUAGUGGAAAGGAUGUGGAGAUACUUAGACAAUGAGGAUGUUGGCUUAGAGGCAGCCACCAUUUAAACAGUGCGUAAUAGCUGACUCAUCGAGUGUUUCCGCGCCGAAAAUGAUUGGCGAUAAGUGUCGUACCGAAGCUCUGGACGGUGCCUGGAUUCGUCCGGGCAUUGUGGUAGGGGAGCGUUGUAGCGGCCUUGAAGCGGGAGCGAAAGCAACCGUGGAGCUUCUACAAGUGAGAAUGCAGACAUGAGUAGCGAAAAGACUGGUUGAAUUCCAGUCCGCCGUAAACCCAAGGUUUCCUGGGGAAGGUUCGUCCUCCCAGGGUUAGUCGGGACCUAAGUCGAGGCCGAAGGGCGUAGACGAUGGACAGCAGGUUUAAUAUUCCUGCACCGCCGACAUUUAAAUUUGAGGGACGUGUGUGCGGAGAAAGGCUGGGCGUUGAUUGUCCCAGUCCCUGAACGCAAGUUUGGGGGACGUGGAGGCCUCGGCCAAAGCGGAUCUUUUAAAGCAUGCACCGAGAAAAACUCAAAGGAAUACUAAGGCGCCCGUACCGGAAACCGACACAGGUGGGUGGGCAUGAAUGUGCCAAGGCGCGUGAGUGAAACCUCGUUAAGGAACUCUGCAAUCUAGCCCCGUAACUUCGGAAGAAGGGGUGCCCACUUUUAGUGGGUCGCAGUGAAAUGGGUGUACCGACUGUUUAUCAAAAACACAGCACUCUGCUAAGUCGUAAGACAACGUAUAGGGUGUGACACGUGACCAAUGCGGAAAGAUUACGGUAAGUGGUUAGCGCAAGCGAAGCUACGAGCCCAAGUCCCCGUGAAUGUCGGCCGUAACUAUAACGGUCCUAAGGUAGCGAAAUUCCUUGUCGGGUAAGUUCCGACCUGCACGAAUCGUGUAACGAGUGCACCGCUGUCUCAACGAGGAGCUCAGCGAAGUUGUAAUGGCGGUGAAGAUGCCGCCUACCCGCAGCAGGACGGAAAGACCCUAUGCACCUUUACUGUACGCUGUUACUGUGUUUUCGAUUUUCAUGCUUAGCGUAAGUGGGAGACUUUGAAGCCAUUCUUUCGGGGAUGGCCGAGUCGUCAAUGAAACACCACCCUUGGAAAUUGGAAACUCUAACCCUCGCCCAUCAACUGGGGAGGGGACACUGGCAGCCGGUCAGUUUUACUGGGGCGGUAUCC
rnacentral:rRNA from 1 species